GUGCAGAUGAUGAUAAAAUUAUGGUAAUUUAACACAGAGAGCUUUCUAUGAAGUCUCAAAAUCGAGCUUUUUAAAACUGAUGCACA